UUCUGCACAGUGCACAUGGCAUUUGGCUCGCGGACCGCGGUUGAAAUUGAAAGGCGCGUUAUGCUAAUUUGUGAAAUUGGGCUGGGGCCUGUGUAAGUCCUUCUCUUCAUUCUACGCUACCUAGAGACUCAAAUAGUGCGGCUGUGUUUUUUUAGAAGAGAAUAUUGCGGAAUGAAUUCUGUUGAAGAUAUGUUUCGAAAUAAGGUUAUAAAAGCGCAGUUGAUCGAAGAGGCAAAAAACAUUGCCCAUGAAGUAAGUCAAAUCACUGAGAGUUAUGAUACAACUCUGAACGACCUCAGAGCCUACCAAAGUGAAUUGCAGCGCAUAACGGCAUUCGUCGAAAAAAUUGAUGAAAAAUUAUUCAAUCAUCGUGAACUUAGUAGUGAUUAUGCUAUCAGAGUAGAAGUUACGAAGUCAACGCGGAUGAGCCUUAUAAUAACGAAAGCUUGUUUGACCAUAAAUGAUAUGCUCAGAGACAGAGUCAGAGGUCACAAGAACCAGAACUGCAAGCUAGAACUCAUAGCCCUAGCAGCAGCAACAACUUGAAGUGGUGUCACUGAUGGCGACGUCUACAACGCAUGAUGGCGCCACGCAGGAAGGAGGAGAGGAGUUGAACCAGUCACAGUGUUGUGGCUUUGAAUUGGUCAACUUUGGUUCCAUUGAUUUAAUUAUAGGCGAUAUAAUCUCGUUUUUUCAUAUUCGUAUCUCAGAAGAGGCAUGAAAUUGGAAUUCUCAAAUAUUUUAUUUACUGUAAACUUUCAGUUCUGCUUUUAUUAGAUGUCUUUGGGGUUUUCAGAGGACUCUCCUUUCAGUAGAGAGAUAUGUCUAGCUUAUUUACGCUGUACUUGAGAAUAUGCUCUUCUUUAGAUAAGUGAUACUCGAAAGGAUUUCUUUGAACCAACUUUGAUGAUACAUAUUUUUAAUCGUCAGAAAUUACAUCACUUCUGCUUCUUACAAUUUCAUAAACAUAGGUUUGUAGCAGAUGUGCAAGUUCGUCAGAACGCAAUGGUGCGUUCAGAACCAACAUCGUAGAAUAACUGUGCAGCAUAUCGUGCUAUAAAACUUGCAAGGGUUUCGUUACUGCCAGAAUCUAUGAAAUCUAAUUUUAUAGAUAACCUGUUUAAAUCGUUUAUUGCUUGCUAAAAUUUUAUUUUACAUUGUUGAGACAUUGAAUUUAUUUGAACUUAUGUUAGUUGCUUCUGUAGGUGUUGCUUGUUUUAAUGUAUAAUUUUGCCCAGUAACUUCUUUUCCAGUAGCCAAGUAAUUUUCUUUGAACUGUGCUGAAGUUAUUAUUUUUCGAGCAAGAAAUGCUACAUUUUUUAAAGGAUGCUCCGUUGGCAAUUAGAUUUAUUCGUAAUUUUGGUGCCGGUUUCUCGAUCAUGCGUUACUUUUUUGUUUCACUUGAUUUACAUUGUUUAUUUUUUAUCAAAAUAAAUCUUGAAAAUUUUCGUUCCUUAAAAAUCAAGUUGUUACGGUUUCAAAGUUGCUUCAAUAAAAUGAUUGAUAAUCGGUUGGCGGUAA